UACGUAGGCAGCAAGCGUUGUUCGGAGUUACUGGGCGUAAAGGGUGCGUAGGCGGCUUUUUUAAGUCUGGUGUGAAAAUCUCCCGGCUCAACUGGGAGGGUGCGCCGGAUACUGAGGGGCUAGAGUGUGGGAGAGGAAAGUGGAAUUCCUGGUGUAGCGGUGAAAUGCGUAGAUAUCAGGAGGAACACCGGUGGUGUAAACGGCUUUCUGGACCAUAACUGACGCUGAGGCACGAAAAGCGUGGGUAGCAAACAGG
rnacentral:rRNA from 1 species